rnacentral:rRNA from 1 species
GAUGAACGCUGGCGGCGUGCCUAAUACAUGCAAGUCGAGCGAACAGAUGAGGAGCUUGCUCCUCUGACGUUAGCGGCGGACGGGUGAGUAACACGUGGAUAACCUACCUAUAAGACUGGGAUAACUUCGGGAAACCGGAGCUAGUACCGGAUAAUAUAUUGAACCGCAUGGUUCAAUAGUGAAAGACGGUUUUGCUGUCACUUAUAGAUGGAUCCGCGCCGCAUUAGCUAGUUGGUAAGGUAACGGCUUACCAAGGCAACGAUGCGUAGCCGACCUGAGAGGGUGAUCGGCCACACUGGAACUGAGACACGGUCCAGACUCCUACGGGAGGCAGCAGUAGGGAAUCUUCCGCAAUGGGCGAAAGCCUGACGGAGCAACGCCGCGUGAGUGAUGAAGGUCUUCGGAUCGUAAAACUCUGUUAUUGGGGAAGAACAAAAGUGUAAGUAACUAUGCACGUCUUGACGGUACCUAAUCAGAAAGCCACGGCUAACUACGUG